GAUGAAGAACGCAGCGAAAUGCGAUAAGUAAUGUGAAUUGCAGAAUUCAGUGAAUCAUCGAAUCUUUGAACGCACAUCGCGCCCCCCAGUAUUCUGGCGGGCAUGCCUGUUCGAGCGUCAUUUCAACCAUCAAGCCCUGCUUGUGUUGGGGUCCUGCGGCUGCCCGCAGGCCCUGAAAACCAGUGGCGGGCUCGCUAGUCACACCGAGCGCAGUAGCACAUCUCGCUCAGGGCGUGCGGCGGGCUCCAGCCGUUAAAGCACCCACCUUUCGCAAGGUUGACCUCGGAUCAGGUAGGAAUACCCGCUGAACUUAAGCAUAUCAAUAAGCGGAGGA
rnacentral:misc_RNA from 1 species